rnacentral:lncRNA from 1 species
UUACAGUCAUCUGUCUCUGUGCUUGCAGGGAUAAAAAGUUUCUCCUGAGGUAUUAAUGACUGAACAAAAGCAACUUCUGGAGCUAUCACAUUCUUCUGAAAUAUUGACAUAUUUGUCUACUGCCAAAGGAGAGAAGUUCCAUCCACAUUACCUGUUUUGUGGGUAUCAUCAAAUACUGCUCCAGCUGACGAACUAAAGACAUAACAUUACUGGUCUGAUAGUGAUAAAUCCAUAAUGCGAAGAGAGGUGAGGUCCUGAUUUUGAAAGAAAUGUCUUCACCCUUCAAAGCCAUUGUGAUUUAGGAAGAGGUUAUCCUCUCAGUGAUCUCCCACAGGGAAAAGUUCCCACACUGUGAAGCUUCCUGACCUGAGGAGGGGACAUCCCCGUGAGUUGUUUGCAGACAAUGGCCCUGGCAGUAGACCACAUCUGUCCCUGAUCAGCAUACACUAGUCUUCCCCUGACCUGAGUUACCUUCACUCAUCUGCAAAGGGACAAGGAAGAGUUCAGCUUUAUCUAAGAGCUUUCCAAAACUUCAGUUCAUUCUUUUACAUGAGUCUGAAUCAAAUCUGUUCUGAGCUUUCAGGAAUGUAAGUGUCAUAGUGAAUCUUUUUCAAAAUGUGGAAUAUGUCAAUUUGCUAUCCUACAUUUCCUAGUUUCAGAAAGAAACGGGCAUAGAUAUGGUUGAAAACCAACGGAAGCUGUCAUGACAAUAUUUUCAGGCUGGUUAAAUACAGGAAAUAUCAAAAAUCUUUGGGAGAUUGGGGAUGAUGAGAUUAGCACGUAACUUUAAAUUAUCAGUAGAAUUCAAAGAAUGUAGGAAAGACUUUGUUGAGUUUAUUGGGGAAAAAAAAUCUUUAAACCUCUGGAAAUCCUACCUUAGGUUCUCAUGAGCUGAAUUGCCAGGGCUCUCUGGCAGGAGAGAGUUAUUAUACGUCUGGGAAGAGCAUGUGAAAGUUUCCUACAUCCUUCAUUAAAAAAAAUAAAUAAAUAAAUAAAUAAAUAAACA